rnacentral:rRNA from 1 species
GGUUAAGCGACUAAGCGUACACGGUGGAUGCCCUGGCAGUCAGAGGCGAUGAAGGACGUGCUAAUCUGCGAUAAGCGCCGGUAAGGUGAUAUGAACCGUUAUAACCGGCGAUUUCCGAAUGGGGAAACCCAGUGUGACUCGUCACACUAUCAUUAACUGAAUCCAUAGGUUAAUGAGGCGAACCGGGGGAACUGAAACAUCUAAGUACCCCGAGGAAAAGAAAUCAACCGAGAUUCCCCCAGUAGCGGCGAGCGAACGGGG